GACGAACGCUGGCGGUGGGCUUAACACAUGCAAGUCGAACGGCAAGGCCCUGCUUUUGUGGUGUUCUCGAGUGGCGAACGCGUACGUAACACGUGAGUAACCUGCCCUUGACUUUGGGAUAACUUCAGGAAACUGGGCCUAAUACCGGACAGGAGCUCCUGCUGCAUGGUGGGGGUUGGAAAGUUUCGGCUGUUGGGGAUGGACUCGCGGCUUAUGAGCUUGUUGGUGGGGGAGUGGCUUACCAAGGCUUUGACGGGUAGCCGGCAUGAGAGGGUGACCGGCGACAAUACGACUGCGAGAGGCACCAGACGGGAAUAGGGGGCAGUGGGGGGGAGCAUGGCACAACGAGCGGAAGUCUGAGGAAAAAGCGUCGGGUUUGUGAUGACGGCUUGCUGGGAAUGAACCGCUGUAGCUUGUGACGAAGCGGGAGUGACGGUAACGAAUGAAGAAGCACCGGCUAACUACGUG
rnacentral:rRNA from 1 species